GGUGAUUUAGCUCAGCGGCAUAAGCGCCUGCCUUUGAAAGCAGGCAGUCGUGAGUUUGAUCCCCACGACUGCCU
rnacentral:tRNA from 1 species